rnacentral:rRNA from 1 species
GUGGGGAAUUUUGGACAAUGGGCGCAAGCCUGAUCCAGCCAUUCCGCGUGAGUGAAGAAGGCCUUCGGGUUGUAAAGCUCUUUCGCAAGGGAAGAAAACUUACCUUUUAAUAGAGGGUGAGGCUGACGGUACCUUGAUAAGAAGCACCGGCUAACUACGUGCCAGCAGCCGCGGUAAUACGUAGGGUGCGAGCGUUAAUCGGAAUUACUGGGCGUAAAGCGUGCGCAGGCGGUUUUGUAAGUCAGAUGUGAAAGCCCCGGGCUCAACCUGGGAACUGCGUUUGAAACUACAAGGCUAGAGUAUGGGAGAGGGGGGUAGAAUUCCACGUGUAGCAGUGAAAUGCGUAGAGAUGUGGAGGAAUACCAAUGGCGAAGGCAGCCCCCUGGCCUAAUACUGACGCUCAUGCACGAAAGCGUGGGGAGCAAACAGGAUUAGAAACCCUUGUAGUCC